AAUGAACGCUGGCGGCAUGGCUAAAACAUGCAAGUCGAACGAACCCGCAAGGGUGAGUGGCGAAAGGGUUAGUAAUACGAUCGAAUGUACCCUGAGGUGGCGGAUAGCGGUGGGAAACUGCCGGUAAUACGUCAUAAUCUCUACGGAGCAAAGAUUAUCGCCUUGGGAGGCAGCGAUCGUCCUAUCAGGUAGUUGGCGGGGUAAAGGCCCACCAAGCCGAAGACGGGUAGCGGGUGUGAGAGCACGACCCGCGACAUCGGAACUGAGACACUGUCCGGACUCCUACGGAGGCUGCAGUAACGAAUCUUCCGCAAUGGGCGAAAGACCUGACGGAGCAAUGCCGCGUGUAGGAUGAAGCGUCUCUGACGUGU
rnacentral:rRNA from 1 species